UAUGGUCAAGCUAAUAAGGGCGCAAGGUGGAUGCCUUGGUGCCAGGAAGCGAUGAAAGACGUGGUUAGCUGCGAUAAGCCUUGGGAAGCCGCUAAACAGGCUUAGAUCCNNNNNNNNNNUGAAACAUCUAAGUACCUUCAGGAAUAGAAAGCAACAGCGAUUCCCUGAGUAGUGGUGAGCGAAACGGGAAGAGCCUAAACCAGCUUUGCGUGAUAGCCUGCAAGCGUUGCAGAGUUGGGGUUGUGGGACUUUAUCGGAGGAGGUUGCAGUCUCCUCGGAAAGUUACAAAACUUGUCUAUAGCUGAAUCUGCUGGAAAGCAGGGUCGUAGAGGGUGAUAGCCCCGUAAGCGAAAUGGGCGAGUCUUUCUGGAUAAAGAUCCCAAGUACCGCGGGACACGAGAAAUCUUGCGGGAAUCAGGGAGGACCAUCUCCUAAGGCUAAAUAUUACCUGGCAACCGAUAGUGAACAAGUACCGUGAGGGAAAGGUGAAAAGUACUCCGGGAGGAGAGUGAAAUAGUACCUGAAACCUUGUGCCUACAAGCUGUGGAAGGACCAUGGAGAUGUAAGAGGGGUAACCCUUUUGCUGAUCCGGUCUAACUGCGUGCCUUUUGCAUAAUGAGUCAGCGAGUUACUUCUAUGUAGCGAGGUUAAGCCGUUAGGUGGAGCCGUAGCGAAAGCGAGUCUUAAUAGGGCGAUUUAGUUGCAUGGAGUAGACCCGAAACCAAGUGAUCUAUCCAUGGCCAGGGUGAAGCGUAUGUAACAGUCCGUGGAGGCCCGAACCGGUGUAGGUUGAAAACUGCUCGGAUGAGCUGUGGAUAGGGGUGAAAGGCCAAUCAAACUUGGAAAUAGCUGGUU
rnacentral:rRNA from 1 species